rnacentral:rRNA from 1 species
UACGUAGGGGGCAAGCGUUAUCCGGAUUUACUGGGUGUAAAGGGAGCGUAGACGGUUUGGCAAGUCAGAUGUGAAAGCCCUGGGCUCAACCCCGGGACUGCAUUUGAAACUGCGAGACUAGAGUGCAGGAGAGGUAAGUGGAAUUCCUAGUGUAGCGGUGAAAUGCGUAGAUAUUAGGAGGAACACCAGUGGCGAAGGCGACUUACUGGACUGUAACUGACGUUGAGGCUCGAAAGCGUGGGGAGCAAACAGGAUUAGAUACCCUGGUAGUCCCU